rnacentral:rRNA from 1 species
UCUUACACAUGCAAGUCGGGCGGAUCUCUUUAAUUGCAGCAAUGCAAUUGGAGAGAUCGAGCGGCAAACGGGUGAGUAAUAGAUAGGUAAUCUACCAUAAUGACUGGGAUACCCCCUUGAAAAAGGGAUCAAUACCAGAUAAUGUCAGUUUAAAUACUUUUAAAUUGAAGAAAGAUGGCCCAAAGCUAUCACAUUAUGAUGAGCCUAUCUCCUAUCAGCUUGUUGGUGAGGUAAUGGCUCACCAAGGCUAUGACGGGUAGCUGGUCUGAGAGGAUGGUCAGCCACACUGGAACUUAGAUACGGUCCAGACUCCUACGGGAGGCAGCAGUGGGGAAUCUUGGGCAAUGGGCGAAAGCCUGACCCAGCGACACUGCGUGGGUGAUGAAGAUCUUUGGAUUGUAAAACCCUUUUCCUGAAGAUGAAAGGUAGGAUUGAGAAUAUCCUUCCUACCCUGACAGUAUUCAGGGAAUAAGCCCCAGCCAACUACGUG